rnacentral:rRNA from 1 species
GCGAACGGGUGACUAACACGUGGGUAACCUGCCCAUCAGAAGGGGAUAACACUUGGAAACAGGUGCUAAUACCGUAUAACAAUCGAAACCGCAUGGUUUUGAUUUGAAAGGCGCUUUCGGGUGUCGCUGAUGGAUGGACCCGCGGUGCAUUAGCUAGUUGGUGAGGUAACGGCUCACCAAGGCCACGAUGCAUAGCCGACCUGAGAGGGUGAUCGGCCACAUUGGGACUGAGACACGGCCCAAACUCCUACGGGAGGCAGCAGUAGGGAAUCUUCGGCAAUGGACGAAAGUCUGACCGAGCAACGCCGCGUGAGUGAAGAAGGUUUUCGGAUCGUAAAACUCUGUUGUUAGAGAAGAACAAGGAUGAGAGUAACUGUUCAUCCCUUGACGGUAUCUAACCAGAAAGCCACGGCUAACUACGUGCCAGCAGCCGCGGUAAUACGUAGGUGGCAAGCGUUGUCCGGAUUUAUUGGGCGUAAAGCGAGCGCAGGCGGUUUCUUAAGUCUGAUGUGAAAGCCCCCGGCUCAACCGGGGAGGGUCAUUGGAAACUGGGAGACUUGAGUGCAGAAGAGGAGAGUGGAAUUCCAUGUGUAGCGGUGAAAUGCGUAGAUAUAUGGAGGAACACCAGUGGCGAAGGCGGCUCUCUGGUCUGUAACUGACGCUGAGGCUCGAAAGCGUGGGGAGCAAACAGGAUUAGAUACCCUGGUAGUCCACGCCGUAAACGAUGAGUGCUAAGUGUUGGAGGGUUUCCGCCCUUCAGUGCUGCAGCUAACGCAUUAAGCACUCCGCCUGGGGAGUACGACCGCAAGGUUGAAACUCAGAGGAAUUGACGGGGGCCCGCACAAGCGGUGGAGCAUGUGGUUUAAUUCGAAGCAACGCGAAGAACCUUACCAGGUCUUGACAUCCUUUGACCACUCUAGAGAUAGAGCUUCCCCUUCGGGGGCAAAGUGACAGGUGGUGCAUGGUUGUCGUCAGCUCGUGUCGUGAGAUGUUGGGUUAAGUCCCGCAACGAGCGCAACCCUUAUUGUUAGUUGCCAUCAUUCAGUUGGGCACUCUAGCAAGACUGCCGGUGACAAACCGGAAGAAAGGUG